rnacentral:rRNA from 1 species
CCAGGCCCUAUGGGGCGCAGCAGGCGAGAAACCUUUGCAAUGUGCGAAAGCACGACAAGGUUAAUCCGAGUGUCUCCUGCUAAAAGGAGUCUUUUGUCAGUUGUAGAAUCACUGGUGAAUAAGGGGUGGGCAAGUUCUGGUGUCAGCCGCCGCGGUAAAACCAGCACCUCGAGUGGUCAGGAGGUUUAUUGGGCCUAAAGCAUCCGUAGCCGGUUGCAUAAGUUUUCGGUUGAAUCUAUGCGCUUAACGUAUAGGCCGCCGAAAAUACUGUGCAGCUAGGGAGUGGGAGAGGUACACGGUACUCGAUAGGAAGGGGUAAAAUCCUUUGAUCUAUUGAAGACCACCUGUGGCGAAGGCGGUGUACCAGAACACGUUCGACGGUGAGGGAUGAAAGCUGGGGGAGCAAACCGGAUUAGAUACCCGGGUAGUCCCAGCUGUAAACGAUGCAGACUCGGUGAUGCAUUGGCUUGUGGCCAAUGCAGUGCCGCAGGGAAGCCGUUAAGUCUGCCGCCUGGGAAGUACGUACGCAAGUAUGAACUAAAGGAUUGGCGGGGGAGCACCACAAGGGAGAAGCCUGCGUUCAAUGGAGU